CCUACGGGAGGCAGCAGUGGGGAAUAUUGGACAAUGGGGGGAACCCUGAUCCAGCCAUGCCGCGUGUGUGAAGAAGGCCCUCGGGUUGUAAAGCACUUUCAGUGAGGAAGAACGCCUGGUGGUUAAUACCCAUCAGGAAAGACAUCACUCACAGAAGAAGCACCGGCUAACUCCGUGCCAGCAGCCGCGGUAAUACGGAGGGUGCGAGCGUUAAUCGAAAUUACUGGGCGUAAAGCGCGCGUAGGUGGCUUGAUAAGCCGGUUGUGAAAGCCCCGGGCUCAACCUGGGAACGGCAUCCGGAACUGUCAAGCUAGAGUGCAGGAGAGGAAGGUAGAAUUCCCGGUGUAGCGGUGAAAUGCGUAGAGAUCGGGAGGAAUACCAGUGGCGAAGGCGGCCUUCUGGACUGACACUGACACUGAGGUGCGAAAGCGUGGGUAGCAAACAGGAUUAGAUACCCCAGUAGUC
rnacentral:rRNA from 1 species